AUACCUUUCUCGGCCUUUUGGCUAAGAUCAAGUGUAGUAUCUGUUCUUAUCAGUUUAAUAUCUGAUAUGUGACCCCAAUGGGUCACACGAUAUUAAAUUACUUUUUUAAGGGGGAGAGACUAUUAUAGUAGCUUGCUACUAGGUCUUUCAUGUGUCGUUUAUGCGUUGCACUAUUGCAUUGGCUGGCGCAUCCCACCAAUUAAAGUUUCAAGUAUUUUUCCUAAAAUAAAAAGAAGUUUUUGUUUAGUUAAGAAUCUUUGUAUUGUAAGGCACUAAUGUCAAAUUACGUUGUUUAUUAGUCCAAUCGUGAACUAAACCCACAUUAAUAUGGGUGGUUGGUAUCAGCGUCAAUGUUCCAGUGCUGAUUGAGAGUAAAUAUCCCUUGCACAUAGAAAUUACUCAUAGCUUAAUCGU
rnacentral:snRNA from 1 species